AAAAGACCGACACGUGCAUAGUACCUACGCUACUCUACGCGUACCUAACAAUAAUAUAAUAUCAACGGUAACCCAGGAACCAGUCCCAAAGAGUGCUUAGCACUAUAAAUUUUUUGAUAUUCAGCAAUAUACUGUACACAUUAAGUGAAGUACAGGGAAUAUUAGGGUGAAGAUCCCAGUCCCCUCUUAAGGCUUGUGACAGCUAAGUUGGUACACUAAAUGGUAUGGCUCUAUGCCAAACCGUUGCUUGACAGUAAUAAAUUCAUCACCAACGAUGGCGUAAAAACUUUUAACAAGUGCCAAGCAACAUUGCUGUGUUCCGGUCCGAAGGGCGUGGUUGCUGGUUUAAUUACAGACACAUGAGGCUUAACACCUACGCCUCAGGUCGAUCACCUACGACGUGCUCCUUGCGUGCCCUGCGUAGUGUUGCUCUGGUUCUUCACUCACCUACAGAAUUUCUCCACUCUGAGCACAAAUCCCACCAACCCGCAUUGGAGCAGAGUGGUGGUGCAAAUCUAAUCACUCUCUUAUUAAUAUGGAGGUAUGUAAUGCAUAGAAGCUGGUGUUAAUGUGAUAUAAUACGGAAAUUUAGCUAAAAAUAAAAAUAAUUGUUAACUUAA